rnacentral:lncRNA from 1 species
UCUGUUGACCCCUGGGGGCAUGGUGCCCAAGGGAAGCUGGGGUAAGGUGGGGAUGCUUCCUGGGGGCACCAGACUGAGGGGCUGGGUGCUUUAAUCAGCUGAUGGCAAUAAAGUAGAUCUUUAUGGCUACUGCAGUUUAUUUGCCUUCCCUCUCUGCAGAGCAGUCAGUGGGUGAUGGCUGGGGAAGGACUGGGGGGGGGGCACAGGACCUCCCUGUGGAUGUCUGCUGCUCCUGUGGGCUGGUGCUGGUUGCUCUGAGCCGUGCAGGAGGGGUGAUUUCCCUGCUGGGAGGAAGGCACAAGACCCCUGAACGUCAAAGGUUGGAGCCUUCGCCUCUGCCCCCAGCCCAGCUCACAGUGGUGCCGUAUGCCCAUGAGGUCCUGAAGUGUUACGACCUAAUGUGUAACUUCAUCGUUUACUCAUGUAGCAGCACCGAGGUUACUGUGUAA